rnacentral:rRNA from 1 species
AUUGAACGCUGGCGGCAUGCUUUACACAUGCAAGUCGAACGGUAACAGGGUGCUUGCACCGCUGACGAGUGGCGAACGGGUGAGUAAUGCGUCGGAACGUGCCGAGUAGUGGGGGAUAACGCAGCGAAAGUUGUGCUAAUACCGCAUACGUACUGAGGUAGAAAGUGGGGGACCUUCGGGCCUCACGCUAUUCGAGCGGCCGACGUCUGAUUAGCUAGUAGGUGAGGUAAAGGCUCACCUAGGCGACGAUCAGUAGCGGGUCUGAGAGGAUGAUCCGCCACACUGGGACUGAGACACGGCCCAGACUCCUACGGGAGGCAGCAGUGGGGAAUUUUGGACAAUGGGCGAAAGCCUGAUCCAGCCAUGCCGCGUGUCUGAAGAAGGCCUUCGGGUCGUAAAGGACUUUUGUCAGGGAGGAAAUCUCUAGUGCUAAUAACACUGGGGGAUGACAGUACCUGAAGAAUAAGCACCGGCUAACUACGUGCCAGCAGCCGCCGUAA